UACAGGGGGGUGCAAACGUUGCUCGGAAUCAUUGGGCGUAAAGCGCACGUAGGCGGUCUGUUAUGUCGGAUGUGAAAGCCCUUGGCUCAACUGAGGAAAGUGCAUCCGAAACUGGCAGGCUAGAGUACUAAAAGAGGAUCGCGGAAUUCCCGGUGUAGAGGUGAAAUUCGUAGAUAUCGGGAGGAACACCGGUGGCGAAGGCGGCAUCCUGGACCGGCAUUGACGCUGAGGAGCGAAAGCCAGGGGAGCAAACGGG
rnacentral:rRNA from 1 species